UACGGGGGGGGUAAGCGUUGUUCGGAAUUACUGGGCGUAAAGGGCUCGUAGGCGGCCUUCUAAGUCAGACGUGAAAUCCCCCGGCUUAACCUGGGAACUGCGUCUGAUACUGGAGGGCUUGAGUGCGGGAGAGGGAUGUGGAAUUCCAGGUGUAGCGGUGAAAUGCGUAGAUAUCUGGAGGAACACCGGUGGCGAAGGCACUCUGCUGGGCCGACACUGACACUGAGAGACGAAAGCUAGGGGAGCGAAUGGG
rnacentral:rRNA from 1 species